UUGAAAAGUGGCCUGUUUCGUGUGACAUUUAAUCGAAAACCAGAAGUGCCAUGGUUUGGUCCAUAUUUGGCCAAUUUUGUACGACCAACAGCCAACCGAACCAAAUGUUCAUCGUUACCAUUCUAUCAACAAUUUUAUGAGGAGAGAAAACGUUUAUUGGAUACGAUUUCAUCGCGACACAAAGACAGCAGUACAUUUGAAGAUUUUACAUGCCCGUGCACCCACAAUGAUUGACAACAUCUAUAUUAAUCAAUCGAAAAAAUGGAGUCAGCCGCAAACUGCAAUUUUAUCAGACGGCAAUUUUAUCAGUUCGUGAUAUUCCAAAUCAGCUUUUAAGAGCUGUAAAUAUUGAUCGCUUAUCACCUCGGUCACAUCGUUCCAAUUGCAUCCAUUUAAGAGUGCACCAAAAAACAUAUUUACAACGUACAGUUUUUGGUUGCCUACGAAAUAUACGAUAUGAAAACAAUGCAACGUUUAUUUUUUUUCAAUUUCAUAAAUAACUCUGUAUGUUUUGUGAAAAUUGCAAGUUUGCAAUUGCCUAGUUAGGUCAAAGUAUUUUCUGGCUGAAAAUGGUUCCUCUUUUUUUUAUGUUAUGGAAAUAAACGGCUAAAUUUUAUUUUCGGAGAAAUGGUGAAAGAAUAGCGUGAAAGAGAUGUUGUAGAUAAAGAGAGAGAAAGACAGAAAGACAGAAAAUGAAAGCGUGUAAUUAUUCAACAAAACAACCAACAUUUGCAUCCAUGUGAACACAGAUUCAAAAUUUAAUUAAUAAAUAUGUUCAUUCUAAAGUUAA